AUUGAACGCUGGCGGCAUGCCUUACACAUGCAAGUCGAACGGUAACAGGUCUUCGGAUGCUGACGAGUGGCGAACGGGUGAGUAAUACAUCGGAACGUGCCCGAUCGUGGGGGAUAACGCAGCGAAAGCUGUGCUAAUACCGCAUACGAUCUACGGAUGAAAGCGGGGGAUCGCAAGACCUCGCGCGGACGGAGCGGCCGAUGGCAGAUUAGGUAGUUGGUGGGAUAAAAGCUUACCAAGCCGACGAUCUGUAGCUGGUCUGAGAGGACGACCAGCCACACUGGGACUGAGACACGGCCCAGACUCCUACGGGAGGCAGCAGUGGGGAAUUUUGGACAAAGGGCGCAAGCCUGAUCCAGCCAUGCCGCGUGCAGGAUGAAGGCCUUCGGGUUGUAAACUGCUUUUGUACGGAACGAAAAAGCUCUCUCUAAUACAGGGGGUGAAUGACGGUACCGUAAGAAUAAGCACCGGCUAACUACGUGCCAGCAGCCGCGGUAAUAC
rnacentral:rRNA from 1 species